rnacentral:tRNA from 1 species
GAGGAUUUAGCUCAGUGGCAUAAGCACCUGCCUUGCAAGCAGGUGGUCGUGAGUUCAAUCCCCG